AGCGGGGUGGAGCAGUGGUAGCUCGCCAGGCUCAUAACCUGGAGGUCGCAAGUUCAAUUCUUGCCCCCGCAACCA
rnacentral:tRNA from 2 species